rnacentral:misc_RNA from 1 species
UCCGGCUUAUCACCGGCAGUUCCCCCAGAGUGCUCAGCUUAACCUGUUAGCAACAGAGGGUGAGGGUUGCGCUCGUUGCGGGACUUAACCCAACAUCUCACGACACGAGCUGACGACAGCCAUGCAGCACCUGUGUGGAAGCCAGCCAAACUGAAGGAAGGCAUCUCUGCCGACCAAACUUCCCAUGUCAAGGGCUGGUAAGGUUCUUCGCGUUGCCUCGAAUUAAACCACAUGCUCCACCGCUUGUGCGGGUCCCCGUCAAUUCCUUUGAGUUUUAAUCUUGCGACCGUACUCCCCAGGCGGGAUGCUUAAUGCGUUAGCUGCGCCACUGACAGGCAAGCCUGCCAACGGCUAGCAUCCAUCGUUUACGGCGUGGACUAC